rnacentral:tRNA from 1 species
UUAACUAAAACCAAAAUAGAGGUAUAUUACUGUUAAUAAUAAUAUUGAAUUUUAAUUAUUCUAGUUAAG